AGUCGAGGGGCAGCAUUUUAGUUUGCUUGCAAACUAAAGAUGGCGACCGGCGCACGGGUGAGUAACACGCUAUCCAACCUGCCGAUAACUCGGGGAUAGCCUUUCGAAAGAAAGAUUAAUAUCCGAUAGUAUAUUAAAACCGCAUGGUUUUACUAUUAAAGAAUUUCGGUUAUCGAUGGGGAUGCGUUCCAUUAGUUUGUUGGCGGGGUAACGGCCCACCAAGACUACGAUGGAUAGGGGUUCUGAGAGGAAGGUCCCCCACAUUGGAACUGAGACACGGUCCAAACUCNUACGGGAGGCAGCAGUGAGGAAUAUUGGUCAAUGGACGAGAGUCUGAACCAGCCAAGUAGCGUGAAGGAUGACUCCCCUAUGGGUUGUAAACUUCUUUUAUAUGGGAAUAAAGUAUUCCACGUGUGGGANUUUUGUAUGUACCAUAUGAAUAAGGAUCGGCUAACUCCGUGCCAGCAGCCGCGGUAAUACGGAGGAUCCGAGCGUUAUCCGGAUUUAUUGGGUUUAAAGGGAGCGUAGGUGGAUUGUUAAGUCAGUUGUGAAAGUUUGCGGCUCAACCGUAAAAUUGCAGUUGAAACUGGCAGUCUUGAGUACAGUAGAGGUGGGCGGAAUUCGUGGUGUAGCGGUGAAAUGCUUAGAUAUCACGAAGAACUCCGAUUGCGAAGGCAGCUCACUAGACUGCAACUGACACUGAUGCUCGAAAGUGUGGGUAUCAAACAGGAUUAGAUACCCUGGUAGUCCACACAGUAAACGAUGAAUACUCGCUGUUUGCGAUAUACAGUAAGCGGCCAAGCGAAAGCAUUAAGUAUUCCACCUGGGGAGUACGCCGGCAACGGUGAAACUCAAAGGAAUUGACGGGGGGCCCCGCACAAGCGGAGGAACAUGUGGUUUNAAUUCGAUGAUACGCGAGGAACCUUACCCGGGCUUAAAUUGCAUUUGAAUAAUCUGGAAACAGGUUAGCCGCAAGGCAAAUGUGAAGGUGCUGCAUGGUUGUCGUCACCUCGUGCCGUGAGGUGUCGGCUUAAGUGCCAUAACGAGCGCAACCCUUAUCUUUAGUUACUAACAGGUNAUGCUGAGGACUCUAGAGAGACUGCCGUCGUAAGAUGUGAGGAAGGUGGGGAUGACGUCAAAUCAGCACGGCCCUUACGUCCGGGGCUACACACGUGUUACAAUGGGGGGUACAGAAGGCAGCUACCUGGCGACAGGAUGCUAAUCCCAAAAACCUCUCUCAGUUCGGAUCGAAGUCUGCAACCCGACUUCGUGAAGCUGGAUUCGCUAGUAAUCGCGCAUCAGCCAUGGCGCGGUGAAUACGUUCCCGGGCCUUGUACACACCGCCCGUCAAGCCAUGAAAGCCGGGGGUACCUGAAGUACGAACCGCAAGAG
rnacentral:rRNA from 1 species